rnacentral:rRNA from 1 species
GCAACAGGAAGGUGUGACGCGUACCGAACAAAAGUAGGGAAGUCUCUGUAGGGGCUGUCAAGAAAAGCCGCUAUUGUGUAAUAUGUGCCCGUACCGUAAACCGACACAGGUGGAUGAGGAGAGAAUCCUAAGGCCGGCGGGAGAAGCAUUGUUAAGGAACUCGGCAAAAUGACCCCGUAACUUCGGGAUAAGGGGUGCCUGAGAAAUCAGGCCGCAGAGAAUAGGCUCAAGCAACUGUUUAGCAAAAACACAGGUCUAUGCAAAACCGAAAGGUGAGGUAUAUGGGCUGACGCCUGCCCGGUGCUGGAAGGUUACGAGGAGGGGUUAGCGGCAACGCGAAGCUCUGAAUUUAAGCCCCAGUAAACGGCGGCCGUAACUAUAACGGUCCUAAGGUAGCGAAAUUCCUUGUCGGGUAAGUUCCGACCCGCACGAAAGGCGUAAUGAUUUGAGCGCUGUCUCGACAAUGCACCCGGUGAAAUUGAAAUACCAGUGAAGAUGCUGGUUACCUGCGCCAGGACGGAAAGACCCCAUGGAGCUUUACUCCAGCUUGAUACUGGGAUUCGGUGCUGCAUGUACAGGAUAGGUGGGAGGCAAUGAAACAGGGACGCCAGUCUCUGUGGAGCCGAUGUUGGGAUACCACCCUUGCGGUAUUGGAUUUCUAACCUGCAGCCAUGACCUGGCUGGGGGACAAUGUCAGGCGGGGAGUUUGACUGGGGCGGUCGCCUCCGAAAGAGUAUCGGAGGCGCUCAAAGGUUCCCUCAGAAUGGACGGAAACCAUUCGAAGAGUGCAAAGGCAUAAGGGAGCUUGACUGCGACACCGACGGGUGGAGCAGGUAGGAAACUAGGACUUAGUGAUCCGGUGGUAUAAAGUGGGAUUGCCAUCGCUCAACGGAUAAAAGCUACCCUGGGGAUAACAGGCUUAUCACUCCCAAGAGUUCACAUCGACGGAGUGGUUUGGCACCUCGAUGUCGGCUCAUCGCAUCCUGGGGCUGUAGUAGGUCCCAAGGGUUGGGCUGUUCGCCCAUUAAAGCGGUACGCGAGCUGGGUUCAGAACGUCGUGAGACAGUUCGGUCCCUAUCCGGCGUGGGCGUAGGAUAUUUGAGAGGAGCUGUCCUUAGUACGAGAGGACCGGGAUGGACUGACCUCUGGUGUAUCUGUUGGUGAUCAACACCAUGGCAGAGUAGCCAAGUCGGGAAGGGAUAAACGCUGAAGGCAUCUAAGCGUGAAGCCCCCCUCAAGAUGAGAUAUCCCAUCGCAAGAGUAAGACCCCUUGAAGACGACGAGGUAGAUAGGGCAGAGGUGGAAGCAUG